rnacentral:misc_RNA from 1 species
CACCCCUCAAGCCUUGCUUGGUGUUGGAGCACUACCGUUUGUAUAAAGUGGUAGGCUCUGAAAUUCAGUGGCGGGCUCGCUAAGACUCUGAGCGUAGUAGUAUAUCACCUCGCUUUGGAAGGAUUAGCGGUGCUCUUGCCGUAAAACCCCCCAACUUCUGAA